CAAGAUUAAGCCAUGCAUGUGCAAGUUCAACUUGAAAAAGUGAAACCGCGAAUUGCUCAUUAAAUCAGUUGCUAUCUACUUGCAUACUAACAGCUUACAAGAAUAACUGCGGUAACCCUGCAGCUAAUGCUUGCAAAUUGCUACUCACUUCCUUAGGGAAGGAUUAGAACUUUUACUAGAAAUCGUCCUGACUUGUUGGGCUUAAUGGAAGCACCUUAUGGUGACUCAAAGUAACUGACCGAUCCCAGAUGGCAAAAUGCCUGGGGACGAUGCUUUCGAGCUUCUGACCUAUCAACCUAUGACGGUAGGGUAAUGGCCUACCGUGGUUGUGACGGGUAACGGGGAAUCAGGGUUCGAUUCCGGAGAGGGAGCCUGAGAAACGGCUACCACAUCCAAGGAAGGCAGCAGGCACGCAAAUUACCCACUUCUAGCACGGAGAGGUAGUGACGAAAAAUAACACUAUGAACCUUAAAGGUUUGUAAGUGGAAUGGUCUGGAUGCAAAAGCUCCAGAGAUUAACGAGUGGAGGGCAAGUCUGGUGCCAGCAGCCGCGGUAAUACCAGCCUCCACAAGCGUAUGCAAAAGUUGCUGCGUUUAAAAAGCUCAUAGUUGGAUCUGUUGACUGGGUUACGGCCAAACUGUUACUAGGGCCAGAUAUGGUCUCUAGCUAACAGCGUAACUCAGCCCUUCGCACCAUGUAGAUUGUUUGCACUUAACCGUGACGAACUUUCGAGAUGGUGUUUUCACUUUGAGAAAAUUAGAGUGCUCAAAGCGUCCUUUGGGAUUGAAUAUUAAAGCAUGGGAUAAUGGAGAAUGACCCGCGAUUUGUUGAUGCAGGUUAUGCUGAAUUGCGGUAAUGAUUAAAAGGAACAGACGGGGGCAUUUGUAUUGCUACGUUAGAGGUGAAAUUCUUGGAUCGUAGCAAGACAAACUACUGCGAAAGCAUUUGCCAAGAAUGUUUUCAUUAAUCAAGAACGAAAGUUAGAGUAUUGAAGAGGAUUAGAUACCCUCGUAAUUCUAACCUUAAACGAUACCAUCUUACGACUUGUCAAAGUCCUAUCAAGACUUGGCAAGGAGUUAACCGGGAAACCAAAGAUUAUUGGUUCCGGGGGAAGUAUGGUUGCAAAAUCGAAACUUAAAGGAAUUGACGGAAGGGCACCACCAGGAGUGGAGCCUGCGGCUUAAUUUGACUCAACACGGGAAAACUCACCAGGUCCAGACAUCUUAAGGAUUGACAGAUUGAAUCUCUUUCAUAAUUAAAUGGGCGGUGGUGCAUGGCCGUUCUUAGUUAGUGGAGUGAUUUGUCUGGUUAAUUCCGAUAACGAACGAGAUCUCUCCCAUUUUAAUAGAAUAAUGACACUGAAAAAUGUGUCUUACUACUUCUUAGAGGGACCACGCAGAAUAUAAUACUGCGAGUGAAGUGAGAUUAUAACAGGUCUGUGAUGCCCUUAGAUGUUCUGGACCGCACGCGCGCUACACUGCACUUUCUUAAUAAGAGAUUAUCCCUUGACCGGCAUGGCUUGGGUAAUCCGUAAAAGAGAAAGGCAUUAAGGGGAUCGACUAUUGUAACUAGUAGUCGUGAACCAGGAAUUCCUAGUAAGUAGGAGUCAACAACUCCUACUGAUUAUGUCCCUGCCCUUUGUACACACCGCCCGUCGCUACUACUGAUUGGAUGGUUAAGCAAGCACCUCUGAACCUUUUUGUUUUUGACUUCGGUUGAGGCAAAGAGCGGAAGAGGAGCAAGCUUAUUUGUCUAGAGGAAGUAAAU
rnacentral:rRNA from 1 species